UACGGAGGGGGCAAGCGUUGUUCGGAGUCACUGGGCGUAAAGGGCGCGUAGGCGGUGCGUAAAGUCAGGCGUGAAAGCCCCGGGCUUAACCUGGGAAUUGCGCUUGAUACUGACGUGCUAGAGAACGGGAGAGGAUGGCGGAAUUCCCAGUGUAGAGGUGAAAUUCGUAGAUAUUGGGAAGAACACCGGUGGCGAAGGCGGCCAUCUGGACGGUAACUGACGCUGAGACGGCGAAAGCGUGGGGAGCAAACAGGG
rnacentral:rRNA from 1 species